AUGCUUACCUGGUAGGGGCGAUACCGUGAUCACAAAGGUGGUUUUACCAGGGCGAGGCUUAUCCAUUGCACUCCGGAUGUGGUGACCCCUGCCGAUUUCCCCAAAUGUGGGAAACUCGAGUGCAUAAUUUGUGGUAGUGGGGCACUACGUUCACGCUCUCCCCGA
ensembl:snRNA U1 U1 spliceosomal RNA